rnacentral:rRNA from 1 species
UACGAAGGACCCGAGCGUUAUCCGGAUUCAUUGGGUUUAAAGGGUGCGUAGGCGGAUUGAUAAGUCAGUGGUGAAAUCCUGCAGCUUAACUGCAGAACUGCCAUUGAUACUGUCGAUCUUGAGUACACUUGAAGUGGGCGGAAUGUAUCAUGUAGCGGUGAAAUGCUUAGAUAUGACACAGAACACCGAUUGCGAAGGCAGCUCACUAAAUUGUAACUGACGCUGAGGCACGAAAGCGUGGGGAUCAAACAGG